AUGCGUGAUACGUGUCAAAAAGCAAAGAGUCAUCAAUUACCAUAUUGUAAUUUGAUUAGUGAACUAAGUGCUCCUUUAGAGCUUAUAUUUUCUGAUGUUUGGCGCCCUGCGCUUGAGUCUUUUGGAUGGAUGAAAUACCAUGCUAGUUUUAUUGAUGAUAGCAAGUUCACAUGGAUUUAUCUAAUCAAACACAAAUCUGAAGUAUUCCAAAUAUUCCAUGAUUUUCAAGCUCUCGUGGAUCUACAAUUUAGUAAGAAGAAUCUUGCUAUUCAGUCUGACUUGGGAGUAGAGUAUGAAAAACUCUCUUUUUUUUACCAAAAUUGGUAUGUCUCUCAUCCACACACUCAUCAACAAAAUGGCUCUGUUGAGCGAAAACACCGUCACAUUAUUGAAACAAAAUUGUCUCUUUUAGCUCAUGGACCCUUGAGUUUUGGAUGA
rnacentral:rRNA from 1 species